CGGCGCACGGGUGCGUAACGCGUAUGCAAUCUGCCUUUCACAGAGGGAUAGCCCAGAGAAAUUUGGAUUAAUACCUCAUAGUAUUAUAGGGUGGCAUCACUUUAUAAUUAAAGUCACAACGGUGAAAGAUGAGCAUGCGUCCCAUUAGCUAGUUGGUAAGGUAACGGCUUACCAAGGCAACGAUGGGUAGGGGUCCUGAGAGGGAGAUCCCCCACACUGGUACUGAGACACGGACCAGACUCCUACGGGAGGCAGCAGUGAGGAAUAUUGGACAAUGGGCGCAAGCCUGAUCCAGCCAUGCCGCGUGCAGGAUGACGGUCCUAUGGAUUGUAAACUGCUUUUGUACGAGAAGAAACACUCCUAUGUAUAGGAGCUUGACGGUAUCGUAAGAAUAAGGAUCGGCUAACUCCGUGCCAGCAGCCGCGGUAAUACGGAGGAUCCAAGCGUUAUCCGGAAUCAUUGGGUUUAAAGGGUCCGUAGGCGGUUUAGUAAGUCAGUGGUGAAAGCCCAUCGCUCAACGGUGGAACGGCCAUUGAUACUGCUGAACUUGAAUUACUGGGAAGUAACUAGAAUAUGUAGUGUAGCGGUGAAAUGCUUAGAUA
rnacentral:rRNA from 1 species